AUUGAACGCUGGCGGCAUGCUUUACACAUGCAAGUCGAACGGUAACAGGCCGCAAGGUGCUGACGAGUGGCGAACGGGUGAGUAAUGCAUCGGAACGUGCCCAGUCGUGGGGGAUAACUACUCGAAAGAGUAGCUAAUACCGCAUACGAUCUAUGGAUGAAAGCGGGGGACCGUAAGGCCUCGCGCGAUUGGAGCGGCCGAUGUCAGAUUAGGUAGUUGGUGGGGUAAAGGCUCACCAAGCCAACGAUCUGUAGCUGGUCUGAGAGGACGACAAGCCACACUGGGACUGAGACACGGCCAAGACUCCUACGGGAGGCAGCAGUGGGGAAUGUUGGACAAUGGGCGCAAGCCUGAUCCAGCAAGGCCGCGUGCAGGAAGAAGGCCUUCGGGUUGUAAACUGCUUUUGUACGGAACGAAACGGCUCUGGUUAAUACCCGGGGCUAAUGACGGUACCGGAAGAAUAAGCACCGGCUAACUACGUG
rnacentral:rRNA from 1 species